CAGUAGCCGCGGGAAUACGUAGGGUGCAAGCGUUAAUCGGAAUUACUGGGCGUAAAGCGUGCGCAGGCGGUUCGUUAAGACAGAUGUGAAAUCCCCGGGCUUAACCUGGGAACUGCAUUUGUGACUGGCGGGCUAGAGUAUGGCAGAGGGGGGUAGAAUUCCACGUGUAGCAGUGAAAUGCGUAGGGAUGUGGAGGGAUACCGAUGGCGAAGGCAGCCCCCUGGGCCAAUACUGACGCUCAUGCACGAAAGCGUGGGGAGCAAACAGGAUUAGAUACCCGCGUAGUCCCUGUCUCUUAUAC
rnacentral:rRNA from 1 species